CAGAAAAAAAACUUUAAUUUUGCAUAAUAACGUAUUAUUGUUAUUCUUUAUUACAUGCAACACUGUACAAAUAGAUGCUUAUCUCCUUACAAUGGGGUUACUUCCUAAUAAACCUGUUGUAAGUUGAAAAUAUAAUGUCAAGAAUGCAUUUAGUAAACCUAACCUACAAAGCCUCAUAGAUUAGCCUAGCCUACCUUAAACAUACUCAGCACAAUUCCAUCAGCCUACAGUUGGGCAAAAUCAUUUGGCAGCAUAGUACACUGCAGACAUCGACUGUUUACCCUCAUGAUUGCCUGGCUAGCUGGAAGCUUUGACUCGCUGCUAUGGUCUAGCAUCACUAGAGAGGAUUGUAGAGCACAUUGCUAGCCCAGAAAAAGAUCAAAAUAAAAUUCUAAGUAAGGUUUCUACUAAAUGUGUCUCACUUUCACACUAUCAUAAAGUAGAAAAAUCAAACCAUUGUUUAGUUGGGGAUCCUCCGUAUAUCGUGGGUAAUUUGCAUGUAAUCCUCUAAAGAGCCCUAAGGGUAAGGUACUAUUUUCAUCUCUAUCUUUCAUAUAGGAAAAUUUAAUCACAGAGAUAUUAAGUUAUUCCCCUAGAGUCACACAGCUAGUAAAACAAUUCUGCAGAAUAACUUUUAAUUAGUAAGCCUGCCAAACAUAGGUCAUACAUUAAAUGAAAACAGCUGAUUGAAAAGUGAUAAAUAUGAUAAGAUCCUAUUCUUAAAAAACUAAUUUAGAUAGAUCUAUAAAGUAUAAAAGGUUACAAAUCAAGAUCUGAACAGUGCUUCUCUCUGUUGAUAAACAUUUUGUUUUCUCACUUUUGUUAAUUAUUAUUUAAGCAUGGAAUGCACUUAUAUUUAUUUUUGAAAAUGGAUGAUUGAUGAAUCUUCAUUCACUGAAUACUAAAACACAGCAAAUUUAUAUAAAACAAACCAAGAAAGAUGUACCUAGAAUAUGAAGAGUUAUAGAUUUAUGGACACCAUCUGCUGCAACUUUUUCAGUAUUUGAACAUUUAAGAAAAAAAAUUAAGCUCUUAGAAGCUUUGAAUAUGAUGAACAAGCUUGAUCUAAAAUAUGCGUGAGUUAGCUCCCUACAAUGAUCUGAAAUCUAGACAUUCUCUAGAAAUUGCCUCUUUAGCCAAAGAGGAUAUUGUAAGUUGCACUACAAACUACUUGGUGAUAGCAAGGAAUAUUUGGUUCAAAAUUAGGCAUAAUGAUUCCCAUUGCAACGUGUCUUCAUUUUAUCAUAGACUUUUGUAAUAAAAAUAUUUUUAAAAACAGAUUUUUCUUUAAGGAAAAAAUAACAAUGCAUUAAAAUAUUUGAUUUUGAAUAGGGUGUGGUUUCCUAAGGAAUUUGAAUGACACUGGGUAGUCUUUGAAGAAUCAUUGAUGUUUAGGAAUACUUUUGUCUUCUGGGAGAAGAAUGUUGGCAUUUUCAGAGUUAGGCUUCAGGAAGAACACUCUAUCAACUGCAUGUAGGAGGAGAAAUUGGGGACCGGAAUACCACACAGAAGAUCAUGAUAACAAUUGAUUAGCAAGAGGGAUAAUACGUGCUAGGACUUCAAAGCAGAUGAAAACAAAUAUAGGGCAGAAGAAAACUAGGAAGGAUGCUUAGGGGUGCCGGGAUGAAGGGAAAGGUAGGGUGGCACAUCACAGCACCAGGUCCCAGGAAAACGUAGGGAGGUACAUCACAGCAACAGGAUUUCAGGAAAACGUAGGGAGGUACAUCACAGCAGCAGGUCUCAGUAAAAGGUAGGGAGGCACAUCCCAGCCCCAUGUCCCAGGGAAAGGUAGGGAGGCACAUCCCAGCACCAGGUCCCAGGAAAAGGUAGGGAGACACAUAACAGUAACAGGUCCUAGGAAAAGGUAGGGGGGCACAUCCCAGAAUCAAGUCUCAGGAAAAGGUAGGGAGGCACAUCCCAGCACCAGGUCCCAGGAAAUAAUAGGGAGACACGUCACAGCAAUAGGUCCCAGGAAAAGGUAGGGAGGCACAUCACAGCACCAGGUUCCAGGAAAGGGUAGGGAGGCACAUGCAAGCACCAGGUUCCUAAGAAAAGGUAGGAAGGCACAUCCCAGCACCAGGUCUCUAAAAAAAGGUAGGGAGGCACACCCCAGCACCAGGUCCCAGCAGGCUGAUUUUCAUUUAAAGUUUUGAUUUUAACUUUCUCAAAAUCUAUGUCUAUGGGUUACAGUUUUCUAGUGAUGGAAGGAAAUAAAAUAACCUAAAGAGAUGGUACUCAAUUUUUAUAUAACUGUAUUUACUCUAACUCUUGGCAUGCACCCUUAUCUUUCUCAAGUGUUUUCCCUCUGUUCCCACAACUCGGAUCAAGUAAGAGGCGUCUGUGCUAACUCACUUGACCUCAUUUGCGUGACUUCAAUAUCUCAAAAUUCUCCCUUAACAUAUUCUACAAAGGUUAUAUCAAAUCUCUAUCAUAAUUAGACUUAUUUCAGUUGGUAUUUGCAUUAUUUUUUCUUUUAUUCAAAUAGGUCAAGCUUAUUGGAUGACUAGUUUCCAUUUAGUUAGAAGAGAUUUUAGGAAAGACAACAUCUAAGCUAUGAUCUGAAAAUGGAAGAGAGAGAGAGAGACAGACAGAGAGAGAGAGAGAGAGAGAGAGAGAGAGAGUGGUCUGCUUUAAGAACUAAAUACAUAAUUAUGCAGAGUUGAACUAAUUGAAGUAUAGGUUUUACAAACCAAAGAGAAAUAAAUACAAUGAAUACUAAAGUAUUAAUUAACAAAAAUCAAUUAAGAAAUGUAUUUGUCUUUAAAUUUUAGAUUUUUAAGUUGAAGUUCAAAGUAAAUCACUGAAGCCAUGCCUACUGAUCUAAAAUUAUCUGGUAGUGUCAGCAAAAUAAAAUUGUAUUUACAUAAUUAUGGGUGAUACCUCAUUGAUAUAACUAAAUAGGAUUCAAUAGCAGCAUUUUUCAGUAAUUGAAACAAUCACAGUCCAAAAGAGGUUGAAAGGCACUAUGAAUAAAAGAGUCAGUUGUACAUCAUUAGAAAGAUUUAAGUGACACCCAGUUAAUACUGUAGAAUUACACACUUUUGUAGAACAGAAUAUAUUUUGAGAAAUGGAUGAGAAAAAAAUGGAUAUUAAUGACAGGGAUCUGUGGGCAGUGAAAAGGAUUGAAGUCAAAUGACAUAUAAAAGAAACACCACAUGUUUCAACAGUUUGUGUGUCCAAGGUGGGCGUGUGGAGAGUGGGUGGGGGUUAUGGGAACUCAUCAACACUCCAAUAUUGAGGGAUGACAAAAGGGAAAAUACACUGUGUCUGCUAUUUAUUUGUGGGAUAGGAAAGAGGAAACAAACUCAGAGUCCAUUGAGCUCCACGUGCUUUGCCUCAUAUCCAUUUAGAAAGUCCAGGGUAAACGUAAAACUGAAUUGACUCCCAAGUCUCCUGACUACUCUAAUUUUAUUUUUUAACAAAGCCAGAAUUCUCAAUGGUUUUGGGUCUUUUGUGUGUGUGUGUGUGUGUGUGUGUGUGUGUGUUUUCUCUCUCUCUUUGUUAAAUUUGUGUCUGACCUGUGUCUUGGGUUUGCAGUCAAAUAUGUCUUCCCAUCAUUAUUGCUCACUUUUUCUAGUAGCUUGACUGCAGUGGCUCACUACGGGCCUCAGAUCAGCAUCACACCUGCUGCCAUUUAUUUAACCAAUUCAUAUAUCCUUUCAUAUAUGCCACCUACUGUGCUAAACACUUUACAAAUUUUAACCCAUUUGAUUGUCAAAGUAACUUUAUGAGGGAGACAGGCAGUAGUGUCAUCAAUCACCCACACUUUAACGAUGUGCAAAGCAAGGACUUGAAGCUUGCCUCAUUUCCCACAGCUGGUAAACACGAUUCAAUGUUGUGUUCGCACUCCUGAGACUAUGCUCUUCACCCAGCUACUCCGUUUUCUCCCACAUCAGCAUUCCUCUCUUAGAUGCUUUAAAUUAAAUAAUUCCUCCUGAGCCCCAGAAGAAAAAUGUUUUAAAAAUGCAUUCAAAUUCAACUGGUCCAAGUGGUUCUUUUAUUUUUUCCAAGAAAACUCAGUACGCUCAUAUGACAUAGAUAUUCUGUAGCAACAUUUGCAAACCUCUGCUUACCAGUGAAAAGCAAACUUUGCAGUUCAAGACCUAAGUUCAUGAAGAAAUUAAAAACACAUGAAUUAUGUGAGAUUUAAAUCUUUCAAAUACAUUAUCACGUUCCUACUUUAAAAGUCUAUUUUAGGUCAAAUGAUAUAUGUAUAUGUGUGUGUGUAUAUAAAUAUCUCUCUUACACAUGCAUACCACACACACAUAAUAUUCUCUCUCUCUAUAUAUAUAUAUGUAUGUAUGUAAAUAUAUCUCACACACACCACACACAAUAUUCUCUCUAUAUGUGUGUGUGUGUGUGUGUGUACGUACAUAUGACAUCACAGAAUAUUGCCAGGAUUAUUAUUAUCAACGCUGCAAUGCUCAGUAUUAUUUAAAAAAUCAUGGUGGUCUGGUACAGGUAUUGACAUAUUGGUUGUAGUUGUCUGAUCUUUCCAGCAGCAGCUGCUGGGCUUUUAGAUGGAGAGAAGCCUUUGCUGCCACAUCAGACAAUAGUUUUGUGACAGAUGUUUCAUGUUCGAUUGAAGGAGCACAGAUGAAAAUAACAGUCCCUCCAUGCUUGUGAGACCACAGUUGAAAAUGAGCAGUUGUCCCCCUUCCAGACAACUGCCAUCAAACCCACAGAACCUUGAAAUAAUUUGCAGCCUGCUCUGCACUAAAAUGAGACUCACAUAGUCCAUGAGGCUGGCGAGCUGUAGUCUACAGAAACACAGAAGAGUCCAUUUUCCUUUUCUGAAAAUUCAGCUGUUACAACCAAUGAUUGACAACUAAUGAUAAAAACUGUCUCGAAGAUUUUGGUUAUUUGCUGUUUUCAAAUUUAUACAUAUAUAUGUGUGUUUCUAUAUACACAUAUAUAUGUAUAAAUUGUUAUUAUGUAUACAUUUUAAAAAACAGAUAAUUAUGACAAAAAGAAGCCAUUAAUAAUCCUAGUAGAGAUAGCCAUUGUUAACAUCAUGGUGUUUGUCCUUCCCCAUACACACACACACAAAUGCCCUUUUAGCUAUAAACAUAUGAGCUUAGCAUACAUAGUUUUAUAACUUCAUUUUUUCAGUUUUUUUGUAAAGAGCAAGAUAGCAAAUAUUUUAGGAUUUGCUGCCUAGAUAGUCUCUGUCACAGCUGCUCAAGUUGGCCACUGUGUGGUAAAAGCAGCCACAGACAAUGGUUAAAUAAAUGGGUGUGGCUGCAUUCCAAUAAAACUUUAUUGACACAAAUAGAAAAUGUUCCAGAAUUGGCCUGUGUGUCAUGAUUACCCAUGUUGGCCUAUACUGUUAUUUUAAUGGCUACAUAAUCUUCCAUACUAUGGAGAUGGCAUGAUUUAUUUUAGCUUUUUGCUCUGGUGAGAUAUUCCUUGUGCUUUUAGCCUUUUGUUAUAUCUAUCUGUCUAUCUAUCAAUCAAUCAAUCUAUCUAUCUAUCUAUCUAUCUAUCUAUCAAUCAUCUGUCUGUCUAUCUAUCUAUCUAUCUAUCUAUCUAUCUAUCUAUCUAUCUAUCUAAGCUUCUGGCCUGCCAAGGAUUCUACUGCAGUCAUGUUGCCCAGUACAGUGGCUAGUAUACCAGGGGGCUAGCUUUCCUGCCCAUUAACAACUCUUCCAACCUGAUUGGACUUCCAGGCCUUUUCCUUCCUUGGUAAGCCUUGGAUUACCUCCAUUGAUUGUCUCAAGUGUAUACCACUUUAUGAGAGAGAUUGAUUCAAGACAUUCUUUAACUGGUAUGCUAUUUUAUUAUGGCCCUAUCUGCACCAAUUUUGCAGAUAUUCUGCAAAUUUUUCAGCCUUUUUCAGCUAGGGUUUUACAUAGCUUAGAAGGUCAAUGAAGUUUAUUUCUCAUAUUCUCACAUUUCCUGAGUCUUAAGGACAGGAGGGAGAGUCAAACAUUUGUCUCUGUACUCUUCCUGAAAGACCUGUCCAUUUAGUUUUUCAGUCCAUGUUUCUAUGCUAAUGUUAUUUAAAUGUGCAUUAUUUGAACUGUGCCUCAGUGUCUGCAUUACUGCAUUGAAAACGAUAGGAAAAGGUUACCAUAAAGUGUCUCUGUUUCUCCUUUUUUAUUUCUAACUCCAUUAUUCUUUUUGUUGAAUACGUUAAUAGAAUUGUUUGGCCUUUUUUUUACAUAUCUGUUUGUUUUGCAAUUUGUAUUAUCUAUGCCAGGAAAUUCUGGGUUUGAAAAUGAGAUCUUUUGUGAUAUUGAGUUUAUGGCUAGUGUUUUCAUUUUUGUUGUUUCUUGAGUCAUGGUUUGUGUAUUCUACAGAGAUGUAGAGUUCGCUUAACUGACCCCAACCCCCACCCCCAUGCCCCAAUAAAGCAUAAUUGGAUAGAGGCUGCUACCAAAAACAAAGACAAAAAACAAACCAAAAUAAAACAAAACAAAAGAAUGGAAAAGAAAACAAAACAGUUUGGCCUAAGAGACAGUAGGUCUUUCAGCAAACUUUGUCAAUGUACAUGGAUUGCUGUGGUGAUAGCUGUCAGGAAGUAGGAGUG